UACAGAGGGGGCAAGCGUUGUUCGGAAUUACUGGGCGUAAAGGGCGCGUAGGCGGCCUGUUAAGUCGAACGUGAAAUCCCCGGGCUCAACCCGGGAACUGCGUCCGAUACUGGCAGGCUUGAAUCCGGGAGAGGGAUGCGGAAUUCCAGGUGUAGCGGUGAAAUGCGUAGAUAUCUGGAGGAACACCGGUGGCGAAGGCGGCAUCCUGGACCGGCAUUGACGCUGAGGCGCGAAAGCCAGGGGGAGC
rnacentral:rRNA from 1 species